rnacentral:rRNA from 1 species
AUGCAGUACCAUUAUUUCGGAGAUGCAGUAACAUUUGACACAACAUACCAUACAAACCUCUAUGAUAUGCCAUUUGGGCCUUUUGUUGGAGUUAACAACCACUUUCAGAGCAUUAUCUUCGGUGGUGUGCUUGUUAGGGAUGAGACGGCUGAAACUUUCGAGUGGGUGUUCAGCGAAUUCAUCCGCAUGAUGGGCGGCAAACCUCCUCAGACCAUUCUUACAAAUCAAUGUACAGCUAUGGAGCUUGCAAUAGAGAAAGUAAUGCCAGAUACCACACACCGGUGGUGCAAGUGGCACAUCGUGAAGAAGGCGAAGGAAAAACUUGGUGCAUACUACUCAAAGCGAAGCAACUUUAGAGCAGAGUUCCAUAAAAUUGUGAAUCACAUGAUAACAGAAGAUGAAUUUGAAAAUGCAUGGGCAGAGCUCCUUGAGAAAUACAGUUUGCAAAAAACACUUACCUUACACACAUCUACGAAGUUCGCACAACGUGGGCAAAACCAUAUUUCAGGGACACAUUUUGUGCAAAAAUGA